UCCAUCUGGAAGUUAAGGUGCAUACACCAUCCAGAAUACAUGUCGAGAGAGAUACAUGUCGUUUGUCUUUAUUAUGCAGCUUGACAGGGUCCUGAUGACGAUGUUAUAAAAUGUAAAGUAAAGAUGCACUGCUUUCCGUCUACUGCUAUCAAUCACGGUUGAUGUCUGCGGCAAAAUUACCGGCAGGACACAUCACUGUAGGUUCUCCACAACUAACUAAAAAGGGGAAUUCGUUCUGUACGUCGAGUGAUUCCCAUCCAUUAAGCAUUACUUUAUGCCAUCUGGUGACCUCCUCAGACCUCAUUGGGCUUAAAUCAUCAGAUUCAAAUCUGAGCAGAAGCUCAGUUUGUAUCUUAACUUUCUCAUGUGAAGAACUAUUUGUAUUUGAAUGAUUGAUUUCACUCUAUAGUUUUGUAGUAUUUGAGUGUAAACACGAUGUGCGGUGUAUUUCAUAUUUAUUUCAUAUUUUUGCUGCAAAACCCAAUGGCUAUCAUUAUCGAUUAAUAUACUAAACAAUUACCUCCAAGCGAAUUGGCUUUUUUCUUGUUGGUUUUACAUGAUGUAGAAAUCUGAUUUUAUUGUACGGUUUUAUAUUAACCCAUUAAAUUCUGAAAAUGUAUAUGUACUUUUAGAAUAAAAGAAAACAUUUUUAUAAUUAUAUAUGUAAAACCUAAUGAUUAAAAUCACCAUACCGUAUCACUUUAGAGUUCAUUAAACUUAUUUCCAUAUUUCAGUAGGUAGCUUCAAUUUAAAUUCAACGUUACAAGUCACGUGAAUUCCAAAUUCUAACUAACAAUUUAACGGAUUUAACUCAUCUCAUCAUUUUUGGGAUUCUGUGUAUUCUUUUAGUGCAAUUUCUUGUCAUCCAUCUGAUUUUGCUGAUGACAAAUGUUUAACCUCACGCGAAGCCUUCUCUAGCCAAGGUGUUGAUUGUCAUCUUGUGUGCUGCUUGGGAUAGCUCCACACAGUUGAUGGGACGGCUUGAAGUGCUAGAGAGAGUGAAGCGAUGGCGGCGGAAACGCGCAUUACAGCGUGCGCGGUUUCCAUCACGCGCAUCUCGUCGCGAUAAAAGCGGAUUAGAAGAUGCCGCGGCAAAGUGAUUUGUAUGGAUAAAAUGUUCGAAUCAUCAGAAGAAAAGCAAUAGUAUGUGUUUUUAUACAAUUUGUACAAUGUUUUGAUACUUAACAGUUGACACAAUUCACAAAAACGUUUUCAA